ACCAGACUCCUACGGGAGGCAGCAGUGGGGAAUAUUGCACAAUGGGGGGAACCCUGAUGCAGCGACGCCGCGUGAGUGAAGAAGUAUUUCGGUAUGUAAAGCUCUAUCAGCAGGGAAGAAAAUGACGGUACCUGGCUAAGAAGCCCCGGCUAACUACGUGCCAGCAGCCGCGGUAAUACGUAGGGGGCAAGCGUUAUCCGGAUUUACUGGGUGUAAAGGGAGCGCAGACGGCUGUGCAAGUCUGGAGUGAAAGGCGGGGGCCCAACCCCCGGACUGCUCUGGAAACUGUAAAGCUGGAGUGCAGGAGAGGUAAGCGGAAUUCCUAGUGUAGCGGUGAAAUGCGUAGAUAUUAGGAGGAACACCAGUGGCGAAGGCGGCUUACUGGACUGCAACUGACGUUGAGGCUCGAAAGCGUGGGGAGCAAACAGGAUUAGAUACCCCGGUAUC
rnacentral:rRNA from 1 species